GACAGCCUGGUCUCAUGUGGUGAAUAGAUGGAAACAAGUUCUAGCACCAUUUGAAAUCAGUUUGUC
rfam:Crassostrea gigas strain 05x7-T-G4-1.051#20 contig13606, whole genome shotgun sequence.